GUUAAAGACUCACGGAAGACAGCAGACGGGGAAGUCCGCAAAAUGGCAUUUUAAUAGCAAAGCAGAUUAGCUAUUCCUGCAAAGCAAUAUGCGAUGAUUGAUGCCAUCAAGGGAAUUACGCAAACUAAUGCGAAGCAGUCAAUUCUCUGGGUAGAAAUUGACCUGACGCUGCCCCCGUGUUCAAAAUGGAAGAAUACGAUUUUUACAGCCGAGGACCCCGAAGACUCACGGCUGAUCAGCCUCCUAAUCGUCAAAGGGAGGAGUUUCGGCAGCGUGUGUAAUUAAAGCUGUUAAUGUAAUCGCUUGUGAAAUAAACUCUGAUUUAGUCAUGA